rnacentral:rRNA from 1 species
GACGAAGGAUUCAAGCGUUGUCCGGAUUUACUGGGUUUAAAGGGUGCGUAGGCGGAAAUAUAAGUCAGUGGUGAAAUCCCGCAGCUCAACUGCGGAACUGCCAUUAAAACUGCAUUUCUUGAAUACGGUUGAGGUAGAUGGAAUGUAACAUGUAGCGGUGAAAUGCUUAGAUAUGUUACAGAACUCCGAUUGCGAAGGCAGUCUACUAAGCCGUUAUUGACGCUGAGGCACGAAAGCGUGGGGAGCAAACAGG